GAUGAACGCUGGCGGCGUGCCUAAUACAUGCAAGUCGAGCGAACAGACGAGGAGCUUGCUCCUCUGACGUUAGCGGCGGACGGGUGAGUAACACGUGGAUAACCUACCUAUCAGACUGGGAUAACUUCGGGAAACCGGAGCUAAUACCGGAUAAUAUAUUGAACCGCAUGGUUCAAUAGUGAAAGACGGUUUUGCUGUCACUUAUAGAUGGAUCCGCGCCGCAUUAGCUAGUUGGUAAGGUAAAGGCUUACCAAGGCAACGAUGCGUAGCCGACCUGAGAGGGUGAUCGGCCACACUGGAACUGAGACACGGUCCAGACUCCUACGGGAGGCAGCAGUAGGGAAUCUUCCGCAAUGGGCGAAAGCCUGACGGAGCAACGCCGCGUGAGUGAUGAAGGUCUUCGGAUCGUAAAACUCUGUUAUUAGGGAAGAACAAAUGUGUAAGUAACUAUGCACGUCUUGACGGUACCUAAUCAGAAAGCCACGGCUAACUACGUG
rnacentral:rRNA from 1 species